rnacentral:rRNA from 1 species
UGACCGCUGGCGGCAUGCCUUACACAUGCAAGUCGAACGGCAGCACGGGUGCUUGCACCUGGUGGCGAGUGGCGAACGGGUGAGUAAUACAUCGGAACAUGUCCUGUAGUGGGGGAUAGCCCGGCGAAAGCCGGAUUAAUACCGCAUACGAUCUACGGAUGAAAGCGGGGGACCUUCGGGCCUCGCGCUAUAGGGUUGGCCGAUAGCUGAUUAGCUAGUUGGUGGGGUAAAGGCCUACCAAGGCGACGAUCAGUAGCUGGUCUGAGAGGACGACCAGCCACACUGGGACUGAGACACGGCCCAGACUCCUACGGGAGGCAGCAGUGGGGAAUUUUGGACAAUGGGCGAAAGCCUGAUCCAGCAAUGCCGCGUGUGUGAAGAAGGCCUUCGGGUUGUAAAGCACUUUUGUCCGGAAAGAAAUCCUUGGCUCUAAUACAGUCGGGGGAUGACGGUACCGGAAGAAUAAGCACCGGCUAACUACGUG